CAGCAGAUCCUGAUACCAGCCAGGUCCCUUUCUUGUAGGGGCCCAGAGUGCAACAGCUGCAAACAGCAGCCUUCUCAGCAGUGUCUUCAUCCUGUUACUUGUGCAGGUUGUCCCAAGUGACCUUGGAGACGGCC
ensembl:snoRNA SNORA70 Small nucleolar RNA SNORA70